CCUACGGGGGGCUGCAGUGGGGAAUAUUGGACAAUGGGGGCAACCCUGAUCCAGCCAUGCCGCGUGUGUGAAGAAGGCCCUCGGGUUGUAAAGCACUUUCAGUGAGGAAGAACGCCUGGUGGUUAAUACCCAUCAGGAAAGACAUCACUCACAGAAGAAGCACCGGCUAACUCCGUGCCAGCAGCCGCGGUAAUACGGAGGGUGCGAGCGUUAAUCGGAAUUACUGGGCGUAAAGCGCGCGUAGGUGGCUUGAUAAGCCGGUUGUGAAAGCCCCGGGCUCAACCUGGGAACGGCAUCCGGAACUGUCAAGCUAGAGUGCAGGAGAGGAAGGUAGAAUUCCCGGUGUAGCGGUGAAAUGCGUAGAGAUCGGGAGGAAUACCAGUGGCGAAGGCGGCCUUCUGGACUGACACUGACACUGAGGUGCGAAAGCGUGGGUAGCAAACAGGAUUAGAUACCCUUGUAGUC
rnacentral:rRNA from 1 species